UGUGGGAGCUGGCUUGCCAGCGAUGAGGCCAUCACAUUCAACAUACCAGUUGACUGUCAGGCCGCCAUCGCUGGCAAGCCAGCUCCCACA
rnacentral:misc_RNA from 1 species